rnacentral:sRNA from 1 species
CCCAGGGCGUUGCCCUGGGCUUGUAUGUAUCGCCCUUUUAGGGCU